UGGGCUGAAUUUGGGGUCAGGUGCUGAGAUUUGGGGUCGGUUUGUGAGAGUUUGGGGUCAGGGCUGGAGAUUUAGGGUCAUUUCAUGAGAGUUUGGGGUCAGAUGCUGAGAUUUGGGGCUGAUUGGGCUGAAUUUGGGGUCAGUUCAUGAGAGUUUGGGGUCAGAUGCUGAGAUUUGGGGUCAGAUGCUGAGAUUUGGGGUCAUUUCAUGAGAGUUCGGGGUCAGAUGCUGAGAUUUGGGGUCAGAUGCUGAGAUUUGGGGCCGAUUGGGCUGAAUUUGGGGUCGGGAGCUGAGAUUUGGGGCCGAUUGGGCUGAAUUUGGGGUCGGGUGCUGAGAUUUGGGG
rnacentral:lncRNA from 1 species